rnacentral:rRNA from 1 species
AGGACGAACGCUGGCGGCGUGCUUAACACAUGCAAGUCACGGGGGCCCAGCAAUGGGUAACCGGCGAACGGGUGCGUAACACGUGAACAACCUGCCCUCGUGUGGGGGAUAGCCAUGCUAACGCGUGGGUAAUACCGCAUACGUUCUUUUGGGGGAGUCCCUGGAAGAGGAAAGCUCCGGCGCACGGGGAGGGGUUCGCGGCCUAUCAGCUAGUUGGCGAGGUAACGGCUCACCAAGGCGACGACGGGUAGCUGGUCUGAGAGGAUGGCCAGCCACAUUGGGACUGAGAGACGGCCCAGACUCCUACGGGAGCAGCAGUGGGAAUCUGCGCAAUGGUCUAACGACUGACGCAGCGACGCCGCGUGUGGGAGGACGUCCGUUUCGGGUGUAAACCGACGUGGUUCGCCCGGGGACAACCGACGUCCCGUUUUCGAGGGUCUGGACGGUACCGGUGAGGAACGCGACCGGCUAACGUCCGUCGCCA